rnacentral:rRNA from 1 species
UGGGGAAUCUUGCGCAAUGGACGGAAGUCUGACGCAGCGACGCCGCGUGUGGGAGGAAGGCCUUCGGGUUGUAAACCACUUUCGGGAGGGAAGAAGCGUUUUGUGACGGUACCUUCAGAAGAAGCCCCGGCCAACUACGUGCCAGCAGCCGCGGUAAUACGUAGGGGGCGAGCGUUGUCCGGAAUUAUUGGGCGUAAAGGGCUCGUAGGUGGUUCGUUAAGUUAGAUGUGAAAUUGUACGGCUUAACCGUGCACUGGCAUCUGAUACUGGCGGGCUUGAGGCAGGUAGAGGAGAAUGGAAUUCCUGGUGUAGCGGUGGAAUGCGCAGAUAUCAGGAGGAACACCGAUUGCGAAGGCAGUUCUCUGGGCCUGUUCUGACGCUGAGGAGCGAAAGCGUGGGGAGCGAACA